AUACCAUUCAAGAGUACAGUGUGAACACUGAGUGUAGGAAUCAAGAACAGCAGCUGAUCUUGCGCUGUUAUAAAUAUAUUUCUCUAUUGUUUUGUGACACUUGAAAAAUAAUGUUAGUGAAACGCAUUUCCCCUUUCAGCGAGGGGCUCGCGCAUUGGAACUGUAGAAAUACAAAGAGGCCAGCGCUCCCUUGGGACCAGGACGACUGAUCCGUGUAAAGGAAAGAAUGGAUGGGGCCGUGUAUCGUGAGAUUUUGAGUGAAAACCUCCGUCCAUCAGCAAGGGCUUUGAGGUUGAAACGUGGCUGGGUCUUUCAGCAUGACAAUGAUCCCAAACACACCGCCCGGGCAACGAAGAAGUGGCUUCGUAAGAAGCAUUUCAAGGUCCUGGAGUGGCCUAGCCAGUCUCCAGAUCUCAACCCCAUAGAAAAUCUUUGGAGGGAGAUGAAAGUCCAUGUUGCCCAGCAACAGCCCCAAAACAUCCCUGCUCUAGAGGAGAUCUGCAUGGGGGAAUGGGCCAAAAUACCAGCAACAGUGUGUGAAAACCUUGUGAAGACUUAGAAAACGUUUGACCUCUGUCAUUGCCAACAAAGGGUAUAUAACAAAGUAUUGAGAUAAACUUUUGUUAUUGACCAAAUACUUAUUUUCCACCAUAAUUUGCAAAUAAAUUCAUAAAAAAUCCUACAAUGUGAUUUU